AUCACUACGCUAGAUGCAUAUCAAUAAGCGGAGGAAAAGAAACUAACAAGGAUUCCCUUAGUAACGGCGAGUGAAGCGGGAAGAGCUCAAAUUUGAAAUCUUCAAGGUUCUACCUUGACGAAUUGUAGUUUAUAGAAGUGUUUCCUGUUAGUAGAGUGGCAAAAGUUCUUUGGAAUAGGACAUCAUAGAGGGUGAGAAUCCCGUAUUUGGUCAUUCCUCCUAGCGUUGUGAUACACUUUCAACGAGUCGGAUUGUUUGGGAAUGCAGUCCAAAAUGGGUGGUAAAUUUCAUCUAAAGCUAAAUAUUGGCGAGAGACCGAUAGCGAACAAGUACCGUGAGGGAAAGAUGAAAAGAACUUUGAAAAGAGAGUUAAACAGUACGUGAAAUUGUCAAAAGGGAAGCGUUUGACACCAGUGUUGUUUAGUUGAAAAUCAAUUCAAUAGUUUUUGAUUCUAAGUAGUAUUGACUUCAUCAGCUUGCUGCUUUCUUCUCAGAAAUUAUUGAAUGCACUUUUCAGUUAACAAGUCAACAUCAAUUUCUUUUGUUGUAAAAGGGUCAUUGGAAGGUGGCUUUCUUUUCGGGGAAAGUGUUUAUAGCCUUUGAUCUCUGCAACCGGAGAGACUGAGGUCUGCAGCGUAGACUCUUCGGGGUUAGAUACAUUUGUGCUAAGCUAUAGCUUUUUAUAGACAACUUGUUGACUAUAUUUAGUCUUGUGGCUUACUCGCUUAUGCUAUUUUACCUACGCUUAGGAUGUUGA
rnacentral:rRNA from 1 species